UACGUAGGGUGCGAGCGUUGUCCGGAAUUAUUGGGCGUAAAGAGCUCGUAGGCGGCUUGUCGCGUCGGAUGUGAAAGCCCGGGGCUUAACUCCGGGUCUGCAUUCGAUACGGGCAGGCUAGAGUUCGGUAGGGGAGAUCGGAAUUCCUGGUGUAGCGGUGAAAUGCGCAGAUAUCAGGAGGAACACCGGUGGCGAAGGCAGCUCACUGGGACGAGUACUGACGCUGAGACGCGAAAGCGUGGGGAGCGAACAGG
rnacentral:rRNA from 1 species